rnacentral:rRNA from 1 species
GAGUUUGAUCUUGGCUCAGAUUGAACGCUGGCGGCAUGCCUUACACAUGCAAGUCGAACGGCAGCACGGGAGCUUGCUCCUGGUGGCGAGUGGCGAACGGGUGAGUAAUGCAUCGGAACGUAUCCUGGAGUGGGGGUUAACGUAGCGAAAGUUAUGCUAAUACCGCAUAUUCUGUGAGCAGGAAAGCGGGGGACCUUCGGGCCCUCGCGCUCUUGGAGCGGCCGAUGUCGGAUUAGCUAGUUAGGUGAGGUAAAGGCUCACCAAGGCGACGAUCCGUAGCAGGUCUGAGAGGAUGAUCUGCCACACUGGAACUGAGACACGGU